rnacentral:rRNA from 1 species
UGCAAGCGUUAAUCGGAAUUACUGGGCGUAAAGCGCAGGUAGGGGGGUGGAUUAAGUAAGAUGUGAAAUUCUCGGGCUUGAGGCUGGGAAUGGCAUGUGAGACUGGUAAGCGAGAGUCUUGUAGAGGGGGGUAGAAUUGGAUGUGUAGUGGUGAAAGGCGUAGAGAUGUGGAGGAAUACCGGUGGUGAAGGAGGCUGUCUGGACAAAGAGUGAUGGUCAGGUGCGAAAGCGUGGUGAGCAAACAGGAUUAGAUACCAUGGUAGUUCAUGCAGUAAUCGAUGUAGAUUUGAAGGUUGUUUGGAUGAGGAGUGGCUUCUGGAGGUAACGAGUUAAAUAGUCUGCGUGGGGAGUACGGGCGCAAGGUUAAAACUCAAAUGAAUUGACGGGGGACCGCACAAGCGGUGGAGCAUGUGGUGUAAUUCGAUGCAACGCGAAGAACCUUAGCUGGUCUUGAGAUGCAGAGAAGUUAGCAGAGAUGGUUUAGUGCGUUGGGGAACUGUGAGACAGGUGAUGCAUGGCUGUAGUCAGCUCGUGUUGUGAAAUGUUGGGUUAAGUCCCGGAACGAGCGCAACCCUUAUGGUUUGUUGCCAGCGGUUCGGUCGGGAACUCAAAGGAGACUGCCGGUGAUAAACCGGAGGAAGGUGGGGAUGACGUCAAGUCAUCAUGGCCCUUACGAGUAGGGCUACACACGUGCUACAAUGGCGUAUAGAAAGAGAAGCGACCUCGCGAGAGCAAGCGGAACUCAUAAAGUACGUCGUAGUCCGGAUUGGAGUCUGCAACUCGAGUUCAUGAAGUCGGAAUCGGUAGUAAUCGUAGAUCAGAAUGGUACGGUGAAUACGUUGGCGGGCCUUGUACACACCGCCCGUCACACCAUGGGAGUGGGUUGCAAAAGAAGUA